UGAUAAGACGGUACUGAUCAAAACGUGUAAACACCAUAACGUAAUAACUCGCACAUCGGUGUGCCUACGAUGAAUAAUAAUAAUUAGCGUUCAGCGAUUUCCGAACACGACGCUCGGACCGAAGCGAAACGCGAAUUCAGUCGUUUCACCGCAUUCUUCCUGCUCGAACCGAUAUCGCCUUUCGAAAUCCCGCGCGCGCUCGCGCGUGCGCGCCAUUAAACGACUUCCGUCCGUCAGUCGCCGUUGCCGUUUUCGCUACCACCGACGUACGCCCAUCGCGCACAUAAUGCUAUCUGCCGCUGGUCGUCUGGCCUCGCCGUGUUGUUCGCGCGACGAAUUCUCCUCACCGCGGACGGAGCAACAGUAGACGAAACAUUUGACCGCGUGCUGAUCGUCUCCACCUCCUUGCCCCGUCAUACUCCGCCACAGCUGUUGUUCGGGUUCCACCAGCAUCGCGCACAAUGAGCUCGGAUAUCAGCACGAGGAACCCCCAGGAGGAGUACGAACUGAUCCAGAGGAUUGGCAGCGGCACAUACGGCGACGUUUACAAGGCCAAGCGGAUUUCCACUUCGGGGCUGGCCGCGAUCAAAGUCAUAAAAUUGGAAGCCGGAGAUGACUUUUCUAUAAUACAACAAGAAAUAUUAAUGAUGCAAGAUUGUCAACAUUCCAAUAUAAUAGAAUAUUAUGGUAGCUAUUUACGCAGAGAUAAAUUAUGGAUAUGUAUGGAAUAUUGUUCUGGAGGAUCAUUGCAAGAUAUUUAUCAUAUUACUGGACCACUUACAGAGUUACAAAUUGCGUACAUGUGUAGAGAAACACUUAAAGGUCUAUCUUAUUUACAUACAGUUGGUAAAAUGCACAGAGAUAUAAAGGGAGCCAAUAUAUUGUUGACUGAAUGUGGUGAUGUGAAGUUGGCAGAUUUUGGAGUUUCUGCUCAAAUUACUGCUACAAUCAAUAAACGUAAAUCAUUUAUUGGCACUCCAUAUUGGAUGGCUCCUGAGGUUGCCGCUGUAGAACGUAAAGGAGGUUAUAACCAAUUAUGUGAUAUUUGGGCUGUCGGGAUAACUUCUAUAGAGUUGGCUGAACUUCAACCACCAAUGUUUGAUUUACAUCCUAUGAGAGCUUUAUUUUUAAUGUCUAAAAGUGGUUUUAAGCCUCCAACUUUAAAGGAUAGAGAUAAAUGGAGUCCAACAUUUCAUAAUUUUGUGAAAAUAUCACUGACAAAAAAUCCUAAAAAACGACCAACAGCAGACAAGUUAUUGAUGCACUCAUUUUUUUGUCAAGAUAUGAGUAAACGACUUGCUAUUGAUUUAUUACAAAAAGCAAGUAACCCAUCUACACAGUCAUUUGCUGAUGUAGAGCCCGAUGAUGAUGUAAUAUCCAAUGUUCCUCGUCGUAUUGCUUCAAGAGCAACUGUUGAUCACAGAGAAGGUUCAUCACAAGUGGCAAAUACAUCUAAUGAUAAUGAAAAUGGUCCUUCUACUCUGUUGGAUUCUAGAAAUAUGGGUGUAGUUAAUAUUAAGAAAAGCGUUUUACGCAAUAAUGACUGUGAUAAUUUUGGAAGAUUAGACUGUACAUCGAUUGAAAAGAGUCUUCUGCAAAACAUAGAAGAAGAACUUAAACUGAGAGGAGAUUAUAUUCGUGUAUUUAAUGAAGAUAGAAAUGGAAGUUAUGAAGAUGUACCAACUUUACCAUUGUCUGACAAAUGCUCUGUGCCACAUACAUCUAGUCAAAAUUGUAAUUUUCCUAAUACAGGCUGUGUCUACCAAAAUUUAAAAGAUAGUUCUUCAUCAUCUAGACGACAUAGCUCUCUUGAUGAAAUUAUCACAUUAACAACUUCGAAUGUUUCAUUAAAUCGACGUCAACGUUCGUUUAGUGAUAGUGGGGGAGAAGGUCCCGAACCAGAUUUAUUAGCUGAUACACCUCCAGUACCUCCUCGCCGAAGAGACCGUAAACAGCGUAAUUCUCCACCUAAACCAAUUAGUAAUGGUUUACCACCAACACCUAAGGUGCACAUGGGAGCUUGUUUUUCAAAGGUAUUCAAUGGAUGUCCUUUAAGAAUAUAUUGCACUGCUAGUUGGAUACAUCCUGAAACUAGGGAUCAACAUGUAUUCAUUGGAGCUGAAGAAGGUAUCUACAAUCUUAAUUUAAAUGAACUUCAUGAAACUGCAAUUGAUCAGUUGUAUAACCGACGAACAAUUUGGUUGUAUGUUAUAAAGGAUAUUUUGAUGUCUUUAUCAGGAAAAACUACUCAGUUAUUUAGACAUGAUCUCUUAGCUCUUCAUGGUAAACAAAGUCAUAGGUUUUCACAGCACAUGACUAGGAUUCCUGAAAAGUUAAUGCCUAGAAGGUUUGCGCUUACCACCAAAGUACCAGAUACCAAAGGAUGUAUAAAAUGCUGUGUUGGACGUAACCCAUACAAUGGUUAUAAAUAUUUGUGUGGCGCUAUGUCAAGUGGGAUUUUUCUAAUGCAGUGGUAUGAUCCACUGAAUAAAUUUAUGUUGUUAAAGCAUUUUGAAUGUAAUUUACCAUCACCUUUAAAUGUUUUUGAAAUGGUUAUAACACCAGAAUUAGAAUAUCCUCUCGUUUGUGUUGGUGUCAAAAAACCAAUUGGACCUAGAAAAUCUAUGAAUUUGAAAUUAGAAUUGAUAAAUGUAAAUACAGGAGCCUGUUGGUUUUGUUCUGGUGAAACAGAUGAUUCUGAUAAUACUGGUACAGUUAUACAAAGAAGAGAUAUAAUGGAUGUUGUAUGUGUAUGCCAGUUGGAUACAGAUUCCUUUCUAAUAUGUUAUAAAAAAACUGUAAAAAUAAUUAAUUUACAUGGUCAACUGAAGGCAGACAGAAAUCAAGUAAACCAGCUACAUUUUGACUUUGAUGUUGAGUCAAUUGUUAGAUUGUCUGAUAGCAUUUUGGCAUUCCAUAAAUACGGUGUUCAAGGACGUUGUUUAAAAAAUGGUGAAAUUACUCAAGAAAUAGUUGACAAAAGUAGAACCUAUAAACUAUUGGGUUCAGACAAUUUUACAGUAAUAGUUACUAUGGAUCCAACUGAUAGUAUAAGUAGAGCUAGAGGCAGAGGAAGAGGCUUAGCUCGUGGAUAAUCAACUCGACAAGGAUUUGCAGAAUCUCGACUUAGACAACCUCGGCCUGGAAAUACAAAUGUGCCACGAGUACCUGGACCAAAACCAUCAAAACCUUCUAUUGAACAAGUAACAAGUAAAUUCACCGAAAUGGGAUCAGGUGAACCAACACUAAUUGGUUGUAGAGUAAUUCGGGGCCGGGAACCAAUAGUUACUCCUCAAAUACCCUACUAUAGGGCUCCAAGACUUGAAUAAUCUAAAAGUCAAACUGGAAAACAAGGUUUGAUUUAAACAAAAAUAUGGCCUAUUUAUUAUU
rnacentral:misc_RNA from 1 species